ACACGUUUCCGUCUUCCUCAUCUAGAGCGAGUUCUCAGUCUGUCGUUUAAAAUCGAGGUUGCCCUGCCUCUCUCACACCAUCCAGAUGCUCCAUUCAGACAAACUGCUCAGUUCGGUGACAAAAUGUGUUGAUGAGUUUAUCAAUCGGUGCUUAGGCUAGACUCGCUCUAAUUUACUGAGAUUGACUGACUGGUAAGGCAGCCCAGAACUGAGUAGGAUCUAAAGGAAAGCUUAGCUAUUAAGGACAGACCAGAGAAGUUUUGUGUGGAGGCUAAGAGGAAGCACCAAGAGCUUUAGGCAGCUGGGACCCAUGCUGUCUUGGUGGAAGAAGAUUUAGAACUCUGUCUCUCAGAAGACGUAGUCUCCAACUGGGUGGCCUUACCCUUGGAGGCAAGGACCUGGGUAGAUUGUACCCUUUUCUCUUAGAAAAAAAUCUACAUUCCCUUUCACAAAAAGUUGUCCAUGUUAGUCUGAGAGGGCCACAGAAUCGCAGACACUCAGCCACAACCCCCUGGAUGUCCCAGGUCAAAACUAAAGGUUUCAAAGAGACAAACGACUCAUCGGUAAGAAGACAUCUAGUGACACUUGAGCUGUCACUCAAGUCAGAGGAAAUGAAGUGCAGAGCACACCAUAGCAACAAGAGAGGAGAACACACAGAGGAGGUGAUGGCAGCAGGGAGGAAAGCCAUCUGAAGCCACAUGUAGUGGGAGGUCUUCUGCCCUCAUAGCUGUUUGAUCUCAGAUUCUGUGAGACAAUGUGUGUAAAGCCCUGGACAAGAGACAAAGCUCAGGAUGGAGCAGCUGGGGAUGAUCGCAUUUUGGAUGAGCUGCUGAGAGGCGGGACGACAUUGCAGGUAAUGGCACAGCUUCUGGAGUGGGACCACCCGCGUUCUCCGCUCAUCUUCUUCCAUGGAAUCUUUAAGCAUCAGUGUCUUCUUCACCUGCAAAACCAGGAUGGCAGCAGUGCAAAGCUUCCAGCCACAAAGUUAUCCUGUGAGUGAGACGAUGUGUGUCACUAGUAGAGUGUGUGUGUGUGCAUGUGUGUAUGUGUAUGUGUGUGUGUGUGCAUGGGAGGAGAAGAGAGAGAGAGAGAGAGAGAGAGAGAGAGAGAGAGAGAGAGAGAGAGAGGGAGAGGGAGAGAGAGUGCUGUGGUGUAGUUGAAGGAGAGAGGACAAACUUCAGGAGUUGGUUCUCUCCUUCCACUGUGUAGAUCCUGGGAAUCAAACAAACUCAGAUCAUCGGGUUCAAGCGCAAGUGUCUUUAUCCACCAAGCCUUCUUGCUGGUCCUUUUCAAAAGUUUUUAUUGUAUCUAAUUUAUGCAUGGAUGUGGUGAUUUAAUACAUGCAAGAAAGCACACAGUGACACACUCAUAGCAAGCAGCUACAUACACGUGCUAUACGUGGAGAUUUUGUAGUUAGUGGUAUAUUUGGAGUCCUUAAAGCUUGAAACAGGGUUUUAAAAAUAUUCCCACUUUCUUAAUACAAUAGAGGUAUUUCCAGCAACUCACAUGGAAUCAAAAGCAACCAUUAUUUUUCCUUUAGCUUUAAAGCAAAGCAUAAAAAAACUUAAAAAGAAUAAAGUUGCAACUUAAAAGAGCCAUUAAAUUUCAUACUUUCACGGAACUUUUCUCUGACCGAACACAAAGACAUUAGACCCAGCCAUUUGUACUGUUUCAUUAAUUCCAGCAACACAUACAAACUCCGAGAGGUCACCAAAACCAGGAUUGAAGUACGCCAAGUUUCUCAUCUUCGUAUUUGCUCUGAGUGUUUACUUUCCAUCGACUAAAGCAACGCAGGAACAUGCACUAAGGCAGGAGUAUGCGCCCCCAGUUCCGAGCCUUUGCAAUCAUCGCGUUAAUGCACAGUUGGUAGCUGGGUCCUGUGGGACGGGCUCCCUGGCAGCUGGGGCCCUCCCGAGCUGCCUUGCAUGCUUCUUUUGUUAAACUCAACAGAUAACGAAGCUGUUAUUUAGAACUUAAACUAAGAGAGGAUCAUUUGCACAGAGGAGGACUCGCCAGCCCUGCUGAGAACGGCAGGGUCAAGGAACGAAACUACAAACUACUUCCGGUGCACUUGCCUGCCGGGUUAUUGAGUCAGUGAACAUGAAACCCUCUUCAAGACACCUCUCUUUCCAACCUCAAUUCCCCCUAUUUUGACAAUUUCCUCCGGCUGUGUAGGGAAUAGCUGGAUGUUUCUGGAAGCCAGUGAUCAAUGCUCUGUGUCCUGAUGAGAAUUUCACUGGUUUUGGGGACAGUUUUGCCCUCCUGGUAUCUGAUCUUUGAAGACUGUGUUAAGUAGAGGCAGAUUAUAGCGGGCUCAGAAGACUUCUGGACACAAAGAUUUGGAGAAUCGUCUUCUCCUUCUUCUUCUUUAUCGGUUUUGUUUUUAAGACAAGGUCUUAGCGUGUGCCGGACCACUACCCUGACUAAAAUUGUGGCUUUAAAGUGAUGCUUUCAUUGUCUGCUUGGCAGUUUUGCCAGUCUAUUUUCUUAUUUACAAAUCUUUAUGCAAAAAGAACAUUCUCCCCGACUCUCAACAUUUCUUCAUGUUCUGAAAUGAGAAACACAAACACUUGGUUCAGAGUAAAUUCUGGGUCUACGUAUGAUGAUAACAUAUUUUAGAAAAACACAAGGAUUAUUAAUGUAAUCAUUAAUUCAUCUCUAUUCAUUGAUCAACUUGUGAUUCUGUAUAGUGAUUUUAAAACUUUGUGAAAUUAAUUUGCCAGUUAAAGUUAACAAAUGUUCCUCUUUUCUUCGGGUGCCUGUCAUUUGAACAUUCCCAUUUAUUUCUAUUAAAAUAUUUAAAAGGAUUCUUUAAUUGCUUUUGUCAGUAGUUAUUAUAAUAAAGAUUUCUAUUAGUUUUAAAAA